rnacentral:rRNA from 1 species
ACGAACGCUGGCGGCGUGGAUAAGACAUGCAAGUCGAACGAGAGAAUUGCUAGCUUGCUAAUAAUUCUCUAGUGGCGCACGGGUGAGUAACACGUGAGUAACCUGCCCCCGAGAGCGGGAUAGCCCUGGGAAACUGGGAUUAAUACCGCAUAGUAUCGAAAGAUUAAAGCAGCAAUGCGCUUGGGGAUGGGCUCGCGGCCUAUUAGUUAGUUGGUGAGGUAACGGCUCACCAAGGCGAUGACGGGUAGCCGGUCUGAGAGGAUGUCCGGCCACACUGGAACUGAGACACGGUCCAGACACCUACGGGUGGCAGCAGUCGAGAAUCAUUCACAAUGGGGGAAACCCUGAUGGUGCGACGCCGCGUGGGGGAAUGAAGGUCUUCGGAUUGUAAACCCCUGUCAUGUGGGAGCAAAUUAAAAAGAUAGUACCACAAGAGGAAGAGACGGCUAACUCUGUGCCAGCAGCCGCGGUAAUACAGAGGUCUCAAGCGUUGUUCGGAAUCACUGGGCGUAAAGCGUGCGUAGGCUGUUUCGUAAGUCGUGUGUGAAAGGCGCGGGCUCAACCCGCGGACGGCACAUGAUACUGCGAGACUAGAGUAAUGGAGGGGGAACCGGAAUUCUCGGUGUAGCAGUGAAAUGCGUAGAUAUCGAGAGGAACACUCGUGGCGAAGGCGGGUUCCUGGACAUUAACUGACGCUGAGGCACGAAGGCCAGGGGAGCGAAAGGGAUUAGAUACCCCUGUAGUCCUGGCAGUAAACGGUGCACGCUUGGUGUGCGGGGAAUCGACCCCCUGCGUGCCGGAGCUAACGCGUUAAGCGUGCCGCCUGGGGAGUACGGUCGCAAGAUUAAAACUCAAAGAAAUUGACGGGGACCCGCACAAGCGGUGGAGUAUGUGGCUUAAUUCGAUGCAACGCGAAGAACCUUACCUGGGCUUGACAUGUAAUGAACAACAUGUGAAAGCAUGCGACUCUUCGGAGGCGUUACACAGGUGCUGCAUGGCCGUCGUCAGCUCGUGUCGUGAGAUGUUUGGUUAAGUCCAGCAACGAGCGCAACCCCUGUUGCCAGUUACCAGUACGUGAAGGUGGGGACUCUGGCGAGACUGCCCAGAUCAACUGGGAGGAAGGUGGGGACGACGUCAGGUCAGUAUGGCCCUUAUGCCCAGGGCUGCACACGUACUACAAUGCCCAGUACAGAGGGGGCCGAAGCCGCGAGGCGGAGGAAAUCCUAAAAACUGGGCCCAGUUCGGACUGUAGGCUGCAACCCGCCUACACGAAGCCGGAAUCGCUAGUAAUGGCGCAUCAGCUACGGCGCCGUGAAUACGUUCCCGGGUCUUGUACACACCGCCCGUCACAUCAUGGAAGCCGGUCGCACCCGAAGUAUCUGAAGCCAACCGCAAGGAGGCAGGGUCCUAAGGUGAGACUGGUAACUGGGAUG